GCACUGCUGAGGAGUCCCACAAUAGGACGAAACGCCUGUCUCGUGC
rnacentral:hammerhead_ribozyme from 1 species